AUUACUUUGACAGAUUAAUGUUUUAAAUUUAGAAUUUAAUUAUGUAUAAUAUAUAUAUAAAAAAUUAUACAAGUAAUU
rnacentral:tRNA from 1 species